rnacentral:tRNA from 1 species
GGGUGUAGAGUUCAGUGGUAGAGUGUAUGCUUAGCAUGCAGGAGGUCCUGCGUUCAAUCCUCAGUGUAUCUA